rnacentral:rRNA from 1 species
UGGGACAACCACUGGGAAACGGKGGCUAAUACCGGGUGUGCCGAAAGGUGAAAGGUUAACUGCCUGGAGAUGAGCUCGCGUCUGAUUAGCUAGUGGGGAGGGUAAAAGCUUACCAAGGCGACGAUCAGUUGCUGGUCUGAGAGGACGAUCAGCCGCACUGGGACUGAGACACGGCCCAGACUCCUAUGGGAGGCAGCAGKGGGGAAUUUUCCGCUAUGGGCGAAAGCCUGACGGAGCAAUACCGCGKGAGGGAGGAAGGSUCUUGGGUUGUAAACCUCUUUUCUCAGGGAAGAAUAAUGACGGUACUUGAGGAAUAAGCAUCGGCUAACUCCGUGCCAGCAGCCGCGGUAAUACGGAGGAUGCAAGCGUUAUCCGGAAUGAUUGGGCGUAAAGCGUUCGCAGGUGGCAUUGAAAGUCUGCUGUYAAAGAGUCUGGCUCAACCAGAUACAGGCAGKGGAAACUUCAAAGYUWGAGUGCGGUAGGGGCWGAGGGAAUUCCUGGUGUAGCGGUGAAAUGCGUARAGUUCAGGAAGAACACCGGUGGCGAAAGCGCUCUGCUAGACCGCAACUGACACUGAGGGACGAAAGCUWGGGGAGCGAAAGGGAUUAGAUACCCC